UUCUAAUGUCCAUAUUCACGACCCCGUCACAGCUCAAUCGCGACCCGCUUUUCAGUCCGGCACCUACGUUGUCCAGGUCCCUAAGGACCAAAUUUAUCGCGUUCCGCCACCAGAGAAUGCUCUAAUUGUUGAACGCCGUCGAAAUCCUGAAUCAAAGAAGCUAGGGCAUCGCUGUUCCGCCCAAUUGUUUUGUUUUAUUCUCAUUGCUUUCGUUGUUAUUGCCACAACCCUUGCUAUAGGAUUUUCUUUUUCUCUCCUUAAAGCUAAGAAUCCUGAGUUUCAAGUCCAACGUCUUGUCG
rnacentral:misc_RNA from 1 species